UACGUAGGGGGCAAGCGUUGUCCGGAUUCAUUGGGCGUAAAGAGCGUGUAGGCGGCCAGAUAGGUCAGCUGUGAAAACUCGGGGCUCAACCCUGAGACGUCGGUUGAAACCAUCUGGCUAGAGUCCGGAAGAGGAGUGUGGAAUUCCCGGUGUAGCGGUGAAAUGCGCAGAUAUCAGGAAGAACACCCGUGGCUAAGGCGGCUCUCUAGUACGGUACUGACGCUGAGACGCGAAAGCGUGGGGAGCGAACAGG
rnacentral:rRNA from 1 species